GAUGAACGCUAGCUACAGGCUUAACACAUGCAAGUCGAGGGGCAGCAGGGAUUUAGCUUGCUAAAUCCGCUGGCGACCGGCGCACGGGUGCGUAACGCGUAUCCAACUUUCCCGUUACUCAGGGAUAGCCUUCCGAAAGGGAGAUUAAUACCUGAUGGUGUUUGAAGUUCGCAUGUUCUUCAAACUAAAGAUUUAUCGGUAACGGAUAGGGAUGCGUGACAUUAGAUAGUAGGCGGGGUAACGGCCCACCUAGUCUACGAUGUCUAGGGGUUCUGAGAGGAAGGUCCCCCCACACUGGAACUGAGACACGGUCCAGACUCCUACGGGAGGCAGCAGUGAGGAAUAUUGGUCAAUGGUCGGAAGACUGAACCAGCCAAGUAGCGUGAAGGAUGAAGGUUCUAUGGAUUGUAAACUUCUUUUAUACGGGAAUAAAACCUCCCACGUGUGGGAGCUUGUAUGUACCGUAUGAAUAAGCAUCGGCUAACUCCGUGCCAGCAG
rnacentral:rRNA from 1 species